ensembl:lncRNA SEPTIN9-DT SEPTIN9 divergent transcript
AGCAGGAACCCUAAAUGACAGAUGGUUUCCUGUCCACUCAGCAGGCUGAGGGUCCACCUGGAAGAUACCAAGGCGAUGGGGCUUGGUGCCGUCCUGAGUUUGCAGGCCGAGGCUCACGCUGCUCUGCCAACACUCACAUACAGUAUCCGCAUCAAAGGCUGAGUGUGGCCAAGUGAAGGAGAAAGCCCCUGUGCGGGCACCUGCAGAGGCGUCCACCCUGCCCAGGGGCCUCUGGGGACGCAGCGCCCACCCUGCCCAGGGGCCUCUGGGGACGCAGCGACCCACUGACCAGUGAGCGCAGAUGAGCGACUGCACCUCUCUGCUUCAGCUCUUCAUGGCCAGAUGGGAGGACAAUCCCCACCUUGCAAGGUGGCGUUAAGGACUGAGAAAGAACGAGCACCAGGCCUGGCCCCAUGAGCACUGCUGGGUCUGGAUCCAGGCGCCGUCCACCUUCCACCCGGCAGCACUAAUGCUUCCCUCCCCGGCUGCACUGGCCCUUAUCUGGGGGUCAGGAACUCACGUGCUGAAUAAAGAGCAACUCUUUUCCAGA